ensembl:processed_transcript BC006965 cDNA sequence BC006965
CACGCGUCGGCCACUCCACCUCGGGCGCUCUGAAGCCGGCCGCAUGGAGACUGGGGGACGAUGGCCAAGGGACAGUGGAAAAAUGGCAGGGCAGACCCCCUUGGAUUUGCCCACGUGGAGUUUGGAUAUUUACCUGGCUUCUUUGUCAAGUCUUGGGCCUGAUGCAGGUUGCAGACGUAUGGCCACCGGUUCAUGUAGUCAACAGGUCAGGGGGGCUGUUGCCACCGAAGGAAGGGGGAUAGUGCUGACAAGACUGAUGGUAAUGAUGACAUCUAACGUACAUGGAGCAGCUCUAUCUGCCAGACACUAAGCUCACACUGCAAGUGCCUUCUCCCAGAAGACUUGAUACCGGGAUAUCCUGAGAGCCAAAUCAAAAGCUGCUUUCCACCAGGAGCUUAAGGGAGCACUGAAGAAGACCAAAGGAACUGUGACUCCCUAAGCUCAGGGAAUAGUCAAUAAAUCUCUUUGCUGGCCCGCUGGCAUAGGCUUGUAGUCUCAGCGACUUAUGAGUUGAGGCAGAAGGAUAAGUAGUUCAAGGCCAGCCUUGUCAACUUACCAAAACUGUCUCAAAUUUUUGAAAAAGAAAAGCAGAGUAGGGAAUAUCAGGCAAGGAUAGAAUGCUUACCCAGCAUGCACCAGGUCACCGAGUCAAUCCCUAGAACUGAAGAGAAAAGUGAUCUCCUCUUUAAAAGGAACUAUUUUCUGACUAUCCUGGAAAUGGAUGGUUCUAGAAGAGUUUCAUACUCAACCCUGAGACUUGUGGGAAAUCUCAGAUUUGAGUCUUCGUAGCUAACCACUUCAGGUAUAGUGUCCCCAACUGGGAUGACAGAUAGGAACCUCACAGUGUCCCCAGUCUCAUGUUCCUUUUGCCUUAGGAAAUCCUUGGGGUCUAAAACUGCACCAAGUAUAAGAGAUAACUCCCCUUACCUCCUUGGAGAUGAGGAUUGGUACCAUUAUGUACAGACUUUAGGCAGGGUGCUCAAGUCCUCCCUCACCCAUCUCUUCUUGUCUAACCUAAGGGAUAAAGAGCUUGCUUUCAAAUGUUAUUAACACUGGGACAAUGGGCAAGAGAACACUAAUGUUUCGUGAUGCAUGAAAUAAAAAGAAAUUUACAUUUAA